GACGAACGCUGGCGGCGUGCUUAACACAUGCAAGUCGAACGGUGACCCUGGAGCUUGCUCCAGGCGAUCAGUGGCGAACGGGUGAGUAACACGUGAGUAACCUGCCCCCGACUCUGGGAU
rnacentral:rRNA from 1 species